ensembl:snRNA U6 U6 spliceosomal RNA
GCAUUCUGAUAGUGCAUAUAAAAAGUUUUGGGAAUGAUAAAAGAAGAUUAACAUGGAUGCUGCGUAAGAAUGAGACACAAAUUCAUGAAGUACUCCAUGUUUUU